AGAGUAUACAUCGACCUGGAGAAGUCUGCCCUCCGUAUUAAUGCUGGAUAUGGGAGAAGGUGUAUUAUAAUAAAAGCAGGCGGAGACUGGAGAGUAUACAUCGACCUGGAGAAGUCUGCCCUCUGUAUUAAUGCUGGAUAUGGGAGAAGGUGUAUUAUAAUAAUAGCUGGAGAGUAUACAUCGACCUGGAGAAGUCUGCCCUCCGUAUUAAUGCUGGAUAUGGGAGAAGGUGUAUUAUAAUAAUAGCUGGAGAGUAUACAUCGACCUGGAGAAGUCUGCCCUGCGAAUUAAUGCUGGA